rnacentral:lncRNA from 10 species
UGGCAGAGCAAGUCUCCAUUUCAAAAAAAAAAAAGAAAGAAAGAAAGAAAUAGAGGGUACUGUGAGGAAGGCACAGUUAACAUUUUUCAGCAGUUAGAGAAGAGGGCACUUCCUGGCACCUGGAAUGUUUGAAUUGGGCCUUGAACAAUGGGUAAUAACCAGAUAGUUCAAGUUGGAGGCAGGGAAGGCAAUUCAGGCAUGAGGAACAACAUGGGGGAAAGUGGGUAUGUUGAGUUGACUUGGCUGAUCAGAAGACCUGAACAAGAAUUUGUGAAAAAGAGGAUGGGUGCUACAUUCAGAAAGGUCAAGAUGGAGUAACACAUAACAACCUAGCAUUUGUGUCUGUUAUUCUGUUCUGAUUCUUGAUUUAAAGAUCAAAAUUGGGCUGGGCACAACGGAAGGGUUGUACAAGAAAUGGGAUUUAGAUGAAUGGCAACCAUUCCAGCCAUGAUAUGAGAAUAUUAUUAGCUAAGGUUGUAAGUUAAAUUUUGUGUGAAUGUGAGUUUUUCUGGAGAUUAUACCUUUUAUCUGGUUUCAAGGUAUUCUUUGACCAGAAAAGAUUAGAUUCUGCUACCCUACUUUCUCAGCAUGCUUUGCACAUAGUACAUACACUGUGAAUGUUUGUUGGUUUGAAUAUUAAUUGCUUAUACACGAUUGUAAAAAUGUGAGCAGAGAGUUAUACCACUUGGGAGCUCAUAGGAUCUGGAAAUUAUCUCUGCCUCAUUGGACUCUCCUCCUUCCUCCUUCCUCCUUCCUCCUCCCUCCUUCCUCCUCCCUUCUUUCUUCUCCUUCCUCCUUCCUUCUUUCUUCUCCUUCCUCCUCCUCCUUCCUCCUUCCUCCUCCUUCUUCCUCCUCCUCCUCCUUCCUCUACUUCCGCUGCUGCUGCUGCUGCUCUUGCUGCUGCUUCUGUUUGUGCUGCUUCUCCUGCUGCUGCUCCUGCUUCUUCUGGUUCUGCUUCUGCGUCUGCUUCUUCUGCUGCUCCUUCUGCUGCUCUUGCUUCUUCUUCGGCUUCUGCUGCUGCUGUUUCUGUUUCCUCUGCUGCUGCUGCUGCUUGUGCUGCUGCUGCUCUAGCUUCUGCUUCUGCUUCUGCUGCUUCUGC